rnacentral:rRNA from 1 species
GAACGCUGGCGGCGUGCUUAACACAUGCAAGUCGAACGGAAAGGCCCUUCGGGGUGCUCGAGUGGCGAACGGGUGAGUAACACGUGGGUGAUCUGCCCUGCACUUUGGGAUAAGCCUGGGAAACUGGGUCUAAUACCGAAUAGGACUCCGGCCUUCAUGGGUUGGGGUGGAAAGCUUUUGCGGUGUGGGAUGGGCCCGCGGCCUAUCAGCUUGUUGGUGGGGUAAUGGCCUACCAAGGCGACGACGGGUAGCCGGCCUGAGAGGGUGACCGGCCACACUGGGACUGAGAUACGGCCCAGACUCCUACGGGAGGCAGCAGUGGGGAAUAUUGCACAAUGGGCGCAAGCCUGAUGCAGCGACGCCGCGUGAGGGAUGACGGCCUUCGGGUUGUAAACCUCUUUCAGCACAGACGAAGCGCAAGUGACGGUAUGUGCAGAAGAAGGACCGGCCAACUACGUGCCAGCAG